rnacentral:rRNA from 1 species
GUAGGAUGCGAGCGUUAUUCGGAUUUACUGGGCGUAAAGCGCGUGUAGGCGGUUAGGAGAGUUGGAUGUGAAAGCUCCCGGCUUAACUGGGAGAGGUCGUUCAAAACUUCCUGACUAGAGUUUGGUAGAGGAAAAUGGAAUUCCGGGUGUAGUGGUGAAAUGCGUAGAUAUCCGGAGGAACACCAGUGGCGAAAGCGAUUUUCUGGACCGAUACUGACGCUCAGACGCGAAAGCUAGGGUAGCAAACGGGAUUAGAGACCCCGGUAGUCCUAGCUGUAAACGAUGUAGACUUGGCGUUGGGAGAGUAAAAUCAUCCAGUGCCGAAGCAAACGCGAUAAGUCUACCGCCUGGGGAGUACGGCCGCAAGGUUA